UUUUCAUGGCCACACAGUAGUGGUGGUUGCACUCGAGGGGAGCAUGUUAGAAAUUUUGGUGAAACCACAAGUUUCAUUGCUAUGGGUGUAGCAAAUGACAGUUUGGUAUGCAUCUUGGUUAUUAGUUCACAAUGGGUACAGUAAGCAGUGUCGCAAUUUUUUCUGAGCCAAGGCUCUGAUUUUAGAUCAGACCUCACGACACAGUGACAUACCUAUCCAUCCUACUGCUUAUCCUCGCAGGCCGCUGGAGCCUAUGCGAGCUAUCUUCGGGUGGGAGGCGCGGGGUACACCCUGAACCAGUCAGCCAAUAGCAGGGCACAUAGAAACAAACAACCAUUCGCUCUACAUUCACAACUAUGGGGAAUUUAGAGUAUUCAACCAACCUACCACACAUGUUUUUGGGAUGUGGGGAAAACCAGAUUACCCGGAGAAAACUCAUGCAGGCACAGGGAGAACAUGCAAACUCCACACAGGUGAGGCCGGGUUUGAACCCGGGUCCUGAGAACUUGUGAGGCAGAUGUGCUAACCAGUCGCCCCCUGUGCCGCCCCCUGCCCUUUUACUCUGGGCUAAAAAAAGUGCCCUUUUUCAUACAGCCUUUUUUUUUCUUCAAUGUUAAAACAAACAAAAACAAAUUUUAGGCAAAGUGUUUUAAAAUCUGAUAGGCAUUUAUUUGAGUCACCCCUUUGGAGAAUUGUACAUAGGCUCCCACCUUGACCCCAGCACCCACUGCCAUUUGAACAGGUGUGUAUUUUUUUCAUGUUUACCACUGUGUUACAUCACAUUUUCUCUUAACAACAUUCAAUAAACGUGUUUGGGAACUGAGGACAUUUAUUGUUGAAGCUUUGUAGGUGGAAUUAUUUGCCAUUCUUGCUUGAUGUACAGCUUCAGCUGUUCAACAGUCCGGUGUCUCCGUUGUCGUAUUUUACGCUUCAUAAUGCGCCACACAUUUUCCAUGGGAGACAGGUCUGGACUGCAGGCAGGUCAGUCUAGUCCCUACACACUUUUACUACGAAGCCACGCUGUUGUAACGUGCAGAAUGUGGUUUGGCAUUGUCUUGCUAAAAUAACCAGGGGCGUCCAUGAAAAAGACGCUGCUUGGAUGGCAGCAUAUGUUUCUCCAAAAACUGUAUGUACCUUUCACUAUUAAUGGUCCCUUCACAGAUGGCACUGGCACUAACACAGCCCCAUACCAUCACAGAUGCUGUUUUUUUAACUUUGCGUCCAUUACAGUCCGGAUGGUUCUUUUCCUCUUUAGCCCGGAGGACACGCCAUCCACAAUUUCCAAAACCAAUUUGAAAUGUGGACUCGUCAGACCACAGAACACGUUUCCACUUUGCAUCAGUCUAUUUUAGAUGAGCUCGGGCCCAGAGAAGCCGGCGCCGUUUCUGGGCAUUGUUGAUAAAUGGCUUUUGCUUUACAUAGUAGAGUUUGAAGUUGCACUUAUGGGCGUAGCGCCAAACUGUAUUUACUGACAUUGGUUUUCUGAGGUGUUCCUGAGCCCAUGCAGUGAUAUCCUUUACACAUUGAUGUCGGUUUUUGAUGCAGUGCCGCCUGAGGGAUCGAAGGUCACGGGCAUUCAAUGUUGGUUUUCGGCCUUGCCGCUUACAUGCCGUGUUUCUAAAGAUUCUCUGAACCGUUUGAUAUUCUGGACCGUAGAUGACGAAAUCCCUAAAUUCCUUGCAAUUGCACAUUGAUGAACAUUGUCCUUUAACUGUUCAACUAUUUUCUCACGCUCUUGUUCACAAAGAGGUGAAUUUCGCCAAAUCUCUGCUUGUGAAUGACUGAGCAAUUCAGGGAAGCGCCUUUUAUACCCAAUCAUGGCACCCACCUGUUAACCUGUGGGAUGUUCCAAACAGGUGUUUGAUGAGCAUUCCUCAACUUUCUCAGUCUUUUUUGCCACCUGUCACAGCUUUUUUGGAACGUGUUGUAGCCAUAAAAUUCCAAGUUAAUGACUAAAAACAAUUAAGUUUAUCAGUUUGAACAUUAAAUAUCUUGUCUUUGUAGUGUAUUUUAUUAAAUGUAGGUUGAAAAUGAUUUGCAAAUCAUUGUAUUCUGUUUUUAUUUGUUUAACACAACGUCCCAACUUCAUUGGAAUUGAGGUUGUAAAACACAGAAAAAAAAUUGGUUCGCUGUGGCUUCUGGGUCAUGUGAUGCCCAACACGCAUCCAUGAUAGCACUCAAAUGCAGGGGAAAGAACACCCUCAUAUCAAGAGUGGUGAUGUCAAAGGUCCCAGAUGAUGACGUUGACCUGAGAUGAGGCUGGUCAAGUCCAGUUAAGGUGUUGGAUUUAUCUUACCCAACAUUAUAAAAAAUAGACACAAGAGGAAUGAAGACGCUGGUUUCUUUUUCUCAUUGGGAGGGCGUAUGGGAGAUUGUUCAGAUUACAGCCUCUCAACACGCUCUAAAACAAUAUCUCCCGUCGCUCCUGCAUUUAUUUGAAAAUGGGAAGGUUUCUAAGUUUACAAGACAUAACGUACCAAGCUACAAGACGCAACACACUAAGGGUAGGGUUUCAAGGUGAAGAUAUGGGACCAACACCUGCCACGUCCUUCUCUCUGAUUCCUGCUGAGUCAUCUUCUUGAAGGCGAGACAUCUUCCUUUAUCAAAAUCGUCCAUAAUACUAAUGGAAGCUAAGCAAAUAAAUUAACUUCUACAAUAUAUUUAACAUUUCCCUCCUGUUUAUCAUGUAUUUGCACAAAUUCUCAUCAUUUUACAAUCACUUCAUUUCGAUUUUUUUUUAACUGUAGAAUCAUUUUUAUGAAACACAUACAUUUACAUAACUUGUCAUACAUGAAUGUUGUAGUUUAAACAUCGUAAUCACAUCUGCUCCAUACGGUUCCAUGUGGGUAAUUGCUGUGGUGAUUAAUCUACUGAUUAAAGCCCGAAUGCAUGGGAUACAACAACAUCCACGCAAUGUCAGAAUGACUGCAAAAACAGCAAUUUAUAUCAAUAUUGGUGAAAUUAGGGUUUUGUAGUUACCAAAAACGUCCAUCCAGCUGUCCCACAAGGAGUGUUGAUUGAGGGUCCGUAGACCAUCGAUGGCUCGGGUCAAGCUGCCAUCUGAAGCAGUAUUGUUUGUUCUCCAAACAUACCGCAAACACCUCCCUCUCUUGCGAGGAGCAUGUCGACAGCUAUGCGGUUUUGGAACGUCCUUGAACUGCUCAUGCACAGCUUCCAACCCACUCUGAGUCCAAUUUCCUAAUCUCUGUACAUUGAAGUGGAUAUAGUUUAUCCCAUCAACAUUUUUAUUAAUCGUACACCACCAGCAUAUGAAGUAUUCAAAUCCUCCUGCAACUUGGUCAGCUAAUUUGUAUAGAUUAGGAACCCCACGACGAACACCUAUGGCGUCGAUGUAUGUUUUAUGUUGGAUAAUUUUGCCUCUGCCAGGAUAAAUCUCUUUUUUUGUCUAUCGCCUAGAUUGGACAAAAACAUUGGUGCCCUUUCCAUUAAAUCUUGAACAGGCAUAGGGUAUACUGACGCAUGCAAUAUCAAAGUGAUAAUAGCGCACAAUCCAGAUAUAUCUUUAGGUAAUCUAUCAAACAGUCUAUCAUCUCCGCACCACCACCAGAUGCCGCUCCGUGAUACUGGCAUAAAAUUUGGUCCGACUUUUAAGGUUACUUUACACUGUGUGUCGUUCUGUGGUCCUAAUUUUUUGUUAUUUCUUUCCUUUACUAAUCAUGUUUAUACGAGUAAAAUUAUUAAGUGCUACUAAAAUAGAAAACAUUGGUUUGUGUUUAUCUGCUUUUGUUACGGGAUAUAUAGGAUCCCAUGAUUUACACCUCUGUUGGUACAGUAGCGUUCAUGAAUGGAAUAAUACAAUCUUGUGAUAAUUGUGCCGGAACUAUGCGCAACAAAGGCCUGGGACCCAUGCAAACCACACAAUCUUUUCUCGCUACAUUUGCUGCUUGUUCCACCAAUAGUAACCAAUUAUUUUGUCCUGAAACUCCUGUGACAACAAGGAACCAAUCAUCAGUAGUUAUGUUGUUAACCAUUAAAAUUUGUCCACAUUUCUUUGAAGUUUUCAAUGGCAUUUCUCAUUUAACACUGUUCCCAUAACACAAUGCUACUUGGAAGUGGGGAUCUUUUCCGCCAAAAUAUGCCCACAAGCUCAUCAUCAAACACACUGGGUGUCUUGAUUUUUUGUAUUUCAAUAUUAAACUAUGGGCCGUUUCGCUUAGGUUAAACUUCUUUCUAUGUUCUUUUGCUGUUUUUUGUGACCAACUGGACCAAUCAUAACCUGUUUCACUAAUGAGGUGUUCCCAUCCAAAGCCUAUAGAUGCAUACCAGUCAUAUCCAAAUCCCCAAUUCUGCCCAUUCUCUUGAGCAUCAUUGGUGAGAGCCGCAUAUGGAAUUAUGAUUAAAGCAGUUUGAUUUUGGGGGGCACAAAAUAUUAAACCGUUUUGCCGCAUUUGGAAGCCAUGCCCACAAUUUUGAUCAUCAGCUGUACUCCUUUUGAUACGAGUUAAUGAUUGAACAUUUUUUUAUUAUUGGGUUUGUCAUAUUGGUCCAGUUGGUAGGUGAUUUUCUAUCUAAAAAAUUGGUUGUAUCAUUUAGGGUGGGACGUCCCAUGUACCAGACGACGUGUCCCGACGUCCCAUGUACCAAAACCAACACCAUAGUAGCCAAAGUUGCUACGUAACAAUUUAUCGAAUCUCGUAACCAACGUGGGUGUGCCUUUCUGCUGAGUUCUCACUAAAAGGGUUGGUCUUUUUUUUUUCUUCACUGACCAGCAAGCGUUUUCAGAAUCUACACAUCUGCUCCCGGGCCGUUGUCAGACUUUUGCUCACCUUCCCUAUUUGAGUACUCAGCUGAAAUGACUCUUUUACAGUGUGUUAAAUGAACCCACGCAUUUCUUUCUGCUAUUUUUAUUGUCCCGUUCAUUCUUCCACUAGAACUACACUCUGAGGGUGGUAAGCACAAUGGUUUUUCAAAUUGAUGUGGAACAUGGUUCCUAUUUUAUUGAUUAUUUGAUUUACAAAAUGAGUCCCAUUAUCGCUGUAAAUGGUUUAAAGUAUGCCAUAUCUUGGAAUGAUAUCUUUACAUAGUGCUUUUGCCACCGUCAGAGGUGAUUUUGUUGGGAAUAAUUCUAUCCAUUUAGAAAAUGCAUCUAUGAUAACCAAACAGUACUUCUUUCCUUCACUUUGACUUAAUUCUAUGUAAUCCAUGUGAAUGCGUUGGAAGGGGUAUGUAGGCACUGGAAAUUUACCUCUAGUAGGUCGCAAUAGCCCUUGCGGAUUAGGUCGUGCACAGAUCAUGCAUACUCUACAAUAAUUCUUUGAAUAUAAAUUGAAACCAUAGUUUGUAUCUGUGCCACCAUCCCUCCAGUUGAGACAUGUGACACAGCAUGGCUCAAUAUAGCAGCCCAUUUGAAUAGGUUUUUUUUUUCUUCUUCUCUGUGCUAAUGUAAAUUUCAUUUUGUAGUUUUGCACUUUGUUUUUUCCAAUAAUUGCGUUCUUGUUGUGGAAUACUCAUUGGCUAUCAGUAUAGAUUGUACCAUCUUUAUUUAUCAUUAGUUUGCAUGCCUCGGUUAAUGCUACUAAUUCAGCAGUUUGUUCAGUCAAUUCCUGACAAUCAUGCUGCGUGCCUUCAUCAGGUAAGGGUAUUAGUGUGGCUGGAUUUAAGGUUGUGCAUCGCUCAACAGUCCAAUGUGGUUGUGAAAGCAAGAUAAAUGUCUUGCAGGUGAUAAAAACCCUAUGUUCAUUUGCAAUAGGAGAGCAGACACUGUAUGUGGGACCUUAAGAGUUAAUGGAUGAAAUAACACAAUUGUGGAACUGCUCUUCUACUGCCAUCAAGACUGCCACAACUGCUCCGACGCAAUGCAGUAAUGCACACGUCACGCUGUCCAUUUUAGUCGAAAAAUAAGCCCAUGGUCUUAGCUUAUCACCGUAUUGUUGUGUAAGUACGGAGGUCAUGUAAUAGUUUUUACAAUCUACCAUUUGAAUGAAUGUUUUAUCAUUAAAUUUGGAAGGCCUAGCGCAGCACUGGACACCAAAUGUUUAAUGUCACAGAAGGUCUUUUCUGCCUCUGUACUCCAUUAAUCAGGUGAUGUCAUUUUAAGGUUGGCUUCAUACAUUCAUUUUGACAAUGGUGCAACAAUUUCUGCGUAGUUUGGAAUCCAUGCUCGACAAUAAUUUGUCGGACCUAAAAAUGAUUGUUUCUUCGUCUGUGGUUUAAGAUUUUUUUUAAGACUCUAGUUUUCCUGUCUUCUAAUAUAGUCCUUCCUCCUACACUUACAUUAUGGCCUAGAUAUUUGACUUGCCUUUUACAUCAUUGCAAUUUAUUUUUGUUAACGUUAUGUCCCUCUUCUCCUAGAUGAUGCAGUAAGGCAAAUGAAUCUUUGCAUGUCUCUCCAUCUGGAGAUGCCAGAAGACAUGCGUGUUGUCAUAACUUGUGAAUAAAUGGUUGGACUUUCACAGUAACCUUGCGGUAAUCUAGUAAAUGUAUAUUUUUUUGCCCUCAAAUGUAAAUGCAAACCAAAAUUGACUGUUAUUUUCUAUUGGUACAGAAAAGAAUGCAUUGCUUAUGUCCACUACUGUAAACACAGUAGCUUCUGGUCUUAAUGAAUUUAACAAUGUGUGUGGAUCUGGUACGCAUGCUGCUCUCUGUAUUACUGCAGUAUUUACUGCCUGUAAGUCUCCAACCCACUGAAGGUGGGGCCUUUUUUACAGGGAAAAAUGGGUGUUAUAUGGUGAUUCUGGACACUCCACUAUAACUCCUGCCUUAAUUAAUGAUUCAAUUACUGGUUUGAUUCCUUCAUGUGCAUCUGGUUUUAAUGGAUAUUGACGAAUCCCUGGUCUAUAUUCUGUUUUGGGUCUAAUUUGUACUGGUAAAGCCCCUUUAAUAAGGCCUACAUCAAAUUUUUUGGGAACUUUUUUUAAAUAUUUCUUCAAUUUCAGUGAGGAUCAUUUGGUCUCAUCAAACAGGAUGCAUGUGUUUCCCUUUAUCACCCUGUAUUGUCCAAAACAUCGCCUUCCUAAUUAGGCCAGUUGAUGCACUGUAUUUUAGUUAGUUUUCUAUUUGCAGUACACCAAUCAUUAUGUAUGUUAUCAUGUUUCUCUGUAGACAAUUACAUAAAUACCUAUACACUGCUGAAUGCAAGCGGUCACCAGUUUACGGCGAGGGAUUUUGUUAAAUGGAUUAAUGGUAGAUUUACACUCUGUAUUUAGGUUUAAGACAUGAAAGUACAUUUUGAGCCAGUGUGUGCUUCAAAGCUGCAAUGCUGACUCGCUCUUCACAACUCUGAACAUGACCUUCCUGCUACACCUACAAGAGUGGACUUCCAAAUGUUUGCCUUGGUCAUGCUGCUGCUGGCGAGCCUGAAGCAGAGCCUGGCCAGCUGUGCGGUGGAUAGCUUCAUGGUCAAACAGGACUUUGACCCCAAAAGAUAUGCCCUGCAGAAGAAAGAUCCAGAGGGUUUGUUCCUUCAGGACACCAUCUCUGCGGAGUACAUUGUUGGAGAUGACGGCGCCAUGGUGGCCUCCUCCAGUGGCAGAGUCAACUCUGUUCGGUACUGUGUGCCUAACCCUGAAAGCCCAGGCAAGAUGUUCAUGAACUACCAGGGACUGGCCGGCUAUCUUGUCCAGUGGAGGAGACAACUACUGGAUCAUUGACACAGACUAUGCCAUCACCUACACUUGCCGCCGACGGAAGCUGCGAGGAUGGUUACGCCCUGGUCUUCUCCCGCGGCCUGCCCCCUGCUAGCCAGAGAAUUGAGCAUCAAAAACAGGAGCAUAUUUGCAUGGGGGGGGGGGGACAGUUCCAGCCACUCCUCCCCUACACAAGUUUGGAAUAAUUUUAGGUGGUGGAUGUUUGAACUAUUUGUUUUCCUUCUCAUCAGGAGCUGGCUAAACAUGUUCCAACCAGCAACCAAAGACAACUUCAUUAGUCAUCGCUCCAGGAAUGAGGUCGGCGAGCGCUCCAUUAAAGAUGAUACAAUAUUAAUCCUGUUACACUUAAAACUGUCAUAGUUUCAAUUGUCAUGACAGAAUACCCCAUUGAAAUGUAAUGUAAUUGCCAAAAGAAAAAAGUCCCUUCUGUUUGAUUGAACAAGAUGAUGCAACUCCCCUCUUAAUUGUCAUGCUGUAAUACAUUACCAUGACAACAAAACACUAUCGAAGUAUCUGUCUCAUUUGACAUUUAAAAUGAUACAAGGUCCGUAAAUAACGAUGACAUGGUGGUCUUCUAUAUAUGAUGAGAUAGAUAAAGGUCCUCUGAAUACUCCUCAGGCAGUGAGUACAUCCCAGGCCUGCCCCAGUAGUCCACAGCUCGGACUCUGUACCAGCCGCUCACCUCCUGGUCCACUGAAGAACAAGUAUGCAAGAUGCUCCAUUGAUUUUGGUCAAAUAAGUUAAAAUUAUACCAGUCUUGU